GAGCCCCCGGAGGUCAUCAAACACUGCAUCUUUGCGUCGGAGUCUUAAAGUAAAUUUAAACAAAACUUUCAACAACGGAUCUCUUGGUUCUGGCAUCGAUGAAGAACGCAGCGAAAUGCGAUAAGUAAUGUGAAUUGCAGAAUUCAGUGAAUCAUCGAAUCUUUGAACGCACAUUGCGCCCCGUGGUAUUCCGCGGGGCAUGCCUGUUCGAGCGUCAUUUCACCACUCAAGCCUAGCUUGGUAUUGGGCGUCGCGGUUCCGCGCGCCGUAAAGUCUCCGGCUGAGCAGUUCGUCUCUAAGCGUUGUGGUAUUUUAUUUUCGCUGAAGAGUUCGGACGGCUCUUUGUCUCGUUAAAUCUU
rnacentral:rRNA from 1 species